rnacentral:rRNA from 1 species
UACGUAGGGGGCAAGCGUUAUCCGGAUUUACCGGGUGUAAAGGGGGCGCAGACGGCGAUGCAAGCCAGGAGUGAAAGCCCGGGGCCCAACCCCGGGACUGCUCUUGGAACUGCGUGGCUGGAGUGCAGGAGGGGCAGGCGGAAUUCCUGGUGUAGCGGUGAAAUGCGUAGAUAUCAGGAGGAACACCGGUGGCGAAAGCGGCUCUCUGGCCUGUAACUGACACUGAGGCUCGAAAGCGUGGGGAGCAAACAGG